rnacentral:rRNA from 1 species
AGUAAAAAGUAGAAUAAUAGAUUUGAAAUAUUUAUUAUAUAGAUUUAAAGAGAUAAUCAUGGAGUAUAAUAAUUAAAUUUAAUAAAUUUAAUAUAACUAUUAAUAGAAUUAGGUUACUAAUAAAUUAAUAACAAUUAAUUUUAAAACCUAAGGGUAAACCUUUAUAUUAAUAAUGUUAUUUUUUAUUAUAUUUAUAAUAAGAAUAAUUAUUAAUAAUAAUAAACUAAGUGAACUGAAACAUCUAAGUAACUUAAGGAUAAGAAAUCAACAGAGAUAUUAUGAGUAUUGGUGAGAGAAAAUAAUAAAGGUCUAAUAAGUAUUAUGUGAAAAAAAUGUAAGAAAAUAGGAUAACAAAUUCUAAGACUAAAUACUAUUAAUAAGUAUAGUAAGUACCGUAAGGGAAAGUAUGAAAAUGAUUAUUUUAUAAGCAAUCAUGAAUAUAUUAUAUUAUAUUAAUGAUGUACCUUUUGUAUAAUGGGUCAGCAAGUAAUUAAUAUUAGUAAAACAAUAAGUUAUAAAUAAAUAGAAUAAUAUAUAUAUAUAAAAAAAUAUAUUAAAAUAUUUAAUUAAUAUUAAUUGACCCGAAAGCAAACGAUCUAACUAUGAUAAGAUGGAUAAACGAUCGAACAGGUUGAUGUUGCAAUAUCAUCUGAUUAAUUGUGGUUAGUAGUGAAAGACAAAUCUGGUUUGCAGAUAGCUGGUUUUCUAUGAAAUAUAUGUAAGUAUAGCCUUUAUAAAUAAUAAUUAUUAUAUAAUAUUAUAUUAAUAUUAUAUAAAGAAUGGUACAGCAAUUAAUAUAUAUUAGGGAACUAUUAAAGUUUUAUUAAUAAUAUUAAAUCUCGAAAUAUUUAAUUAUAUAUAAUAAAGAGUCAGAUUAUGUGCGAUAAGGUAAAUAAUCUAAAGGGAAACAGCCCAGAUUAAGAUAUAAAGUUCCUAAUAAAUAAUAAGUGAAAUAAAUAUUAAAAUAUUAUAAUAUAAUCAGUUAAUGGGUUUGACAAUAACCAUUUUUUAAUGAACAUGUAACAAUGCACUGAUUUAUAAUAAAUAAAAAAAAUAAUAUUUAAAAUCAAAUAUAUAUAUAUAUAUUUGUUAAUAGAUAAUAUACGGAUCUUAAUAAUAAGAAUUAUUUAAUUCCUAAUAUGGAAUAUUAUAUUUUUAUAAUAAAAAUAUAAAUACUGAAUAUCUAAAUAUUAUUAUUACUUUUUUUUUUAAUAAUAAUAAUAUGGUAAUAGAACAUUUAAUGAUAAUAUAUAUUAGUUAUUAAUUAAUAUAUGUAUUAAUUAAAUAGAGAAUGCUGACAUGAGUAACGAAAAAAAGGUAUAAACCUUUUCACCUAAAACAUAAGGUUUAACUAUAAAAGUACGGCCCCUAAUUAAAUUAAUAAGAAUAUAAAUAUAUUUAAGAUGGGAUAAUCUAUAUUAAUAAAAAUUUAUCUUAAAAUAUAUAUAUUAUUAAUAAUUAUAUUAAUAAUAUAUAUAAUUAUAUUAUAUAUUUUUUUUUAUAUAAUAUAAACUAAUAAAGAUCAGGAAAUAAUUAAUGUAUACCGUAAUGUAGACCGACUCAGGUAUGUAAGUAGAGAAUAUGAAGGUGAAUUAGAUAAUUAAAGGGAAGGAACUCGGCAAAGAUAGCUCAUAAGUUAGUCAAUAAAGAGUAAUAAGAACAAAGUUGUACAACUGUUUACUAAAAACACCGCACUUUGCAGAAACGAUAAGUUUAAGUAUAAGGUGUGAACUCUGCUCCAUGCUUAAUAUAUAAAUAAAAUUAUUUAACGAUAAUUUAAUUAAAUUUAGGUAAAUAGCAGCCUUAUUAUGAGGGUUAUAAUGUAGCGAAAUUCCUUGGCCUAUAAUUGAGGUCCCGCAUGAAUGACGUAAUGAUACAACAACUGUCUCCCCUUUAAGCUAAGUGAAAUUGAAAUCGUAGUGAAGAUGCUAUGUACCUUCAGCAAGACGGGAAGACCCUAUGCAGCUUUACUGUAAUUAGAUAGAUCGAAUUAUUGUUUAUUAUAUUCAGCAUAUUAAGUAAUCCUAUUAUUAGGUAAUCGUUUAGAUAUUAAUGAGAUACUUAUUAUAAUAUAAUGAUAAUUCUAAUCUUAUAAAUAAUUAUUAUUAUUAUUAUUAAUAAUAAUAAUAUGCUUUUCAAGCAUAGUGAUAAAACAUAUUUAUAUGAUAAUCACUUUACUUAAUAGAUAUAAUUCUUAAGUAAUAUAUAAUAUAUAUUUUAUAUAUAUUAUAUAUAAUAUAAGAGACAAUCUCAAUUGGUAGUUUUGAUGGGGCGUCAUUAUCAGCAAAAGUAUCUGAAUAAGUCCAUAAAUAAAUAUAUAAAAUUAUUGAAUAAAAAAAUAAUAUAUAUUAUAUAUAUUAAUUAUAAAUUGAAAUAUGUUUAUAUAAAUUUAUAUUUAUUGAAUAUAUUUUAGUAAUAGAUAAAAAUAUGUACAGUAAAAUUGUAAGGAAAACAAUAAUAACUUUCUCCUCUCUCGGUGGGGGUUCACACCUAUUUUUAAUAGGUGUGAACCCCUCUUCGGGGUUCCGGAACUUAAAUAAAAAUGGAAAGAAUUAAAUUAAUAUAAUGGUAUAACUGUGCGAUAAUUGUAACACAAACGAGUGAAACAAGUACGUAAGUAUGGCAUAAUGAACAAAUAACACUGAUUGUAAAGGUUAUUGAUAACGAAUAAAAGUUACGCUAGGGAUA